GUGGGGAAUAUUGGGCAAUGGGCGAAAGCCUGACCCAGCAACGCCGCGUGAGGGAAGAAGGCCUUCGGGUUGUAAACCUCUGUCCUUGGUGACGAAGAAAGUGACGGUAGCCAAGGAGGAAGCCCCGGCUAACUACGUGCCAGCAGCCGCGGUAAUACGUAGGGGGCGAGCGUUGUCCGGAAUUACUGGGCGUAAAGGGUGCGUAGGUGGCCUUUUAAGUUGGAUGUGAAAUACCCGGGCUUAACUUGGGGGGUGCAUCUAAUACUGGGAGGCUAGAGUGCAGGAGAGGGAAGCGGAAUUCCUAGUGUAGCGGUGAAAUGCGUAGAUAUUAGGAGGAACACCAGUGGCGAAGGCGGCUUUCUGGACUGUAACUGACACUGAGGCACGAAAGCGUGGGGAGCAAACAGGAUUAGAUACCCUAGUAGUCC
rnacentral:rRNA from 1 species